AUUGAACGCUGGCGGAAUGCUUUACACAUGCAAGUCGAGCGGCAGCGCGGCCUUCGGGCUGGCGGCGAGCGGCGAACGGGUGAGUAAUGCAUCGGAACAUGCCCAGUCGUGGGGGAUAACACUUCGAAAGAAGUGCUAAUACCGCAUACGUCCUGAGGGGGAAAGCGGGGGAUGGCAAGAACUCGCGCGAUUGGAGUGGCCGAUGUCAGAUUAGCUAGUUGGUGGGGUAAAGGCCUACCAAGGAGACGAUCGGUAGCUGGUCUGAGAGGAUGAUCAGCCACACUGGAACUGAGACACGGCCCAGACGCCUACGGGAGGCAGCAGUGGGGAAUGUUGGACAAUGGGGGCAACCCUGAUCCAGCCAUUCCGCGUGAGUGAAGGAGGCCUUCGGGUUGUAAAGCUCUUUCGGCAGGAGCGAAACGGUGGGCUCUAACAUAGUCCGCUAAUGACGGUACCUGAAGAAGAAGCACCGGCUAACUACGUG
rnacentral:rRNA from 1 species